rnacentral:rRNA from 1 species
GUGGAUUAGAUACCCCGGUAGUCCACGCUGUAAACGAUGGGCACUAGGUGUCCGGGGUAUUGACCCCCUGGGUGCCGCAGCUAACGCAUUAAGUGCCCCGCCUGGGGAGUACGGUCGCAAGAUUAAAACUCAAAGGAAUUGACGGGGGCCCGCACAAGCGGUGGAGCAUGUGGUUCAAUUCGACGCAACGCGAAGAACCUUACCUGGGCUAGACAACAGCGGACCGUCCUAGAAAUAGGAUUUUCCCUUCGGGGACCGCUGGUUCAGGUGCUGCACGGCCGUCGCCAACU